rnacentral:rRNA from 1 species
AGAAUCAACGCUGGCGGCGUGCCUAACACAUGCAAGUCGCACGAGAAAGGGACUUCGGUCCUGAGUACAGUGGCGCACGGGUGAGUAACACGUGAAUAAUCUACCUCCGAGUGGGGAAUAACUGAGAGAAAUCUUAGCUAAUACCGCAUAACACUUACGAGUCAAAGCAGCAAUGCGCUUGGAGAGGAGUUCGCGGCAGACUAGUUAGUUGGCGGGGUAAUGGCCCACCAAGACGAUGAUCUGUAUCCGGCCUGAGAGGGCGCACGGACACACUGGAACUGAAACACGGUCCAGACUCCUACGGGAGGCAGCAGUGGGGAAUUUUGCGCAAUGGGGGAAACCCUGACGCAGCAACGCCGCGUGGAGGAUGAAAUAUCUUGGUAUGUAAACUCCUUUCGAUGGGGAAGAUAAUGACGGUACCCAUAGAAGAAGCCCGGCUAACUCGCGCCAGCAGCCGC